UCGUCUAAAUUUGACAACUAACUUGACAUACCAACGCCAAUUGGUUCAACGGAGAAAUGCUCCAACACAUUUUAUCAUGUGACAAUUAGUUUCUAGGCAUAAGUUUUCUGAAUGACUUCCAAUCAAAUCUUGAUACCCAUUGAGGCGUAUGUUUGUAGACCUUCAUGAACAAUUAGGGAUCUAAUCAAACAUAACAGUGUACAGAAAUAUAAAUAUUUUAUAGAUCUAAUCCACAAAAUAGAAAAAUCAAAUCUAAGAUUCAUUAUCACCACCACUAUAGUAUUUACAGGGAGAAAUAUAAUCUCGAGAUAAUAAUGGUGAAUGGAGCUUAAUGGUUGUUGUCGAUGGAUCUAAAGAAAAAAAGAUGCAUACUCGCACUGUUCUUCAAGAUAUGGACGGAGUUGUGGGACCGAUUUAUGGGAACGAAGAAUCCAUCUUACAAAAACAAAUGUAUUUUGCCCAAUUUAAUGGUUCUGAGUAGGCUUUUUACAGCGAUCGACGGUUCCCAUUCGAAUGAAAGUGCAAAAGAUAAAUCCUGGUCGAAAAUAAUCCCUCCUUUUAAGCCUCGAUCUAAUGCAUGUGAUCACUUCGUGCCCUAAAUCUCUCUUCUGUUACAAAAUAAAUUUGGCUUCUUUUCCACUUUUUUUGCUUCCGAUCUGUCAAAAUCGGGAUUUUCUUCCACUUUUUGUUCGCACGUUACAGAAAACGCCCGGCUAAUGAAUUUCAUACGUUACAUUAGAACAGCUUGGAAUGUUCCAUAAUCUCCUACAUAAACCUCGACAGAGUGUAUUUUCAAAACAACAUCGAGGUGAUGCAUCUGUCUUCGAUCGGUAUAUUGAGAAAAUGAAGUUAUAGGAAACCUCACCCACAUCGGCUUUCACACAUCAAGAUUUUGGUUGGUAUAUUGAGGAAAGAGCUACCAUCCAUCUCAGGUAGUUUGUGUUUGACUUUUUAUCAAAAGGUUUGGGAUAUAAUCACUCUUUUAAAGACAUAUAAACUGUUUGUUUAAAUUUUUAAGUGAUAUGUUUUUUCAUAUUAUAUUUUCAGCAACUGUUUUUCUCACUAAAUUUGGUUCAGUGUUCUAAGUUUCUCAUAGAAAAGACAGAAAGUAGCAAUAUGUGUUGACUAUUGAUUAAUCAAUUAAGAUGACAUGAUGGUCUUGGAUGAGAAGUCUCUGAGUUAGAUGAGAAAUGCUUGGAAAUGGUUCCAACCUCUUGGUCUGUUGGGUUCAAUGGCGAUAUUGGAAUCUGAAUCUGUGUAGCGCUAUAAAUGCCAGAAAUGUUGGUAGAGGAAUAUAUAUGAUAAAAAAAAAUAUGAAAAUUGCGCCGGAGGAGUCGACAGAGGACUCGGAGGUGGCGGUAGAGAAAAUUAACCCUGUACGAGUACUUGGUAGGCCUUUUUUGGUCCAAUACGCCUCUGUAUAUCUCCAUUUGCAUGAUGUUCAUACAAUAAUCUGUGCAACGGGGGUAACAAAUGUCAGAACCAAUUUGUGAUGGCCUGAACCAAAUUGGGAUUAUUAUGGCAGCUGAGGUUUUAUUGGUCCAUUCCAUUUGUGUGAAUAAAUGAUAUGCCAUGUACAACUUAGAACUAUAAUUGAGUGCAGAAAGUAUUGGGCAAUCAAUGUGAUGGGUGAAUGCAAAGGAGAACUUCGGGAACUCAGUCAGUAUGAUCGUACAUAUACUGUGAAAUCAUCUUAUUCCUUAAGGUUUCUACUCCGGCCAACUAAGGAAAGGUAUCACUUGCAUGUACAUGGCCAUUAUAAUUUGUCAUGGUUAUGCAACAACGAAUCUAACUCGAAAUUAACUCACAUGUGCAACAUGUCAUACUUCCUUAAACCGGUACGCCAAAUAACAAUCCCAACUCGAAAUGCCCCUCCAGCGCUGGACCUUUUUAUGCCGAAAUAUAAAGACAGAUUCUAAACUAAUGAUGCCAAAUAGAAUCCCACUUACCAAGCACUCAAUGGAAUUAUCGUCAAAGACAGUGCAACUCGAAUGUUGGAUACCAGCGGGUGGCACUAUUUGGCUACAACAAAUGCACGCCUAAAGGGGUUGGUGAAGUCGGAGACUGUAGAUGCACCAAAUUUCGAGGAACCUGUGCUGCAAUGUAUUAUUAUGGGAUAUAAUUUCCAGUAGUUUCACUAAACAAUUCCGCUUCCCCCGUUGUUCAUGGUAUACACCCUGAUUAAGCGGAUGCAGGUUCCUUCUUCACUUUGAGGUGACAGACCAUACCGUCUUCACCAUAUUAUCUGCGCUGGACAAUUUAAGUCCAGCAGUCCGCGCCACUUCGUCGUACAUUUUCAUAAUGGGAGAGGUACCCAAUGAUCCGUUUCUCUUUACUUUAUUAGGCAUCCAUAAGUGAGACAAACAAAUUUUCCUGUGUACAUAUUUAAGUUCCAAAGUGAAGAAUUUUUGGUUUAUGUAAAUUCGGUUUCAUGUUUAAAUGGCAUCAGGAGAAGGGAAGGUAUCAUGGGUUUGCAGUUUUUGAAGAGAUCCUGAAUGUUAAAAUGGAAUACCAUAUAACGCUUACCGCGUAUGACAACCACAUUAUGUAAUCCCGUUGUUUGUUGUUGUUUUGGUAGUGUUUUAUACUUUUUCAGCAGUUCAUCUUUGUAGGUUACGUGUGGGAAUAAAAUGGCUAAAAAAUAUGUUAUAUUUUUAGGAAUUUUGACGAUCAACUGGCUGUAUAUCUGUUGUUCCCUUAAAUUUGAAGUUCAAAAUACCGU